AUGGGGGUGCUGUCUGUGCCUCCCAGGCCAGGAGGAGCGAAGCAAGGGCCUGCCAUAAAGCCAGCAGGUGAGCCGGCCCGGUCCUUUCUGAGGCUGGGUCCCAUCCUCUGUGACACAGGAGAUGCUGGGAGGCUGUGCCCAGCAGGAGCGGAGCUCAGGGGUAGGUGGGAUCGGCCGGAGAUCCUGCAGCUAGUCGCCGGGAGGGGCAGCCGGCCUGCCACCUCCGUGCCCGCGCAGCCUCUCCCUCCUCCUCCCUGGCCUGCUGACCCUGGCCCCUUCCUUCCUGGACUUCAUGGGGCCCCUGGAUACGUGGGCGGACCCCUUGGCGGCCGGGCUGCAGUCCUCACAGAGCCCCCAUUGCUGCCUCAGGGGGAAGAAGGGGCUGCAGGGUGCCCAAGGCCACGCUGUCCCCUCUCUCACCUCCUCCUUUUCUACCUCAGAGCCCUUUAGGGACCUCCAGCAGGUCAGAGGGUCCCCCCUCCCACCAAGGUCAAUGUCUGCCCACUGUCCAUUGGCCCAGGGGGAGGAGCUGGGACUGGGUCUCCCUGGGCUAGAUGGUGCUUCUCCAGCCGUCUCCCAGUGUGGAGCGCUGGGUGGCCGGCCUGUGCCCCUGUACUGGGCAGGGUGAUCAAAAUUACUAUAGAUUAGUUGAUUGCAGAUCAACUGUAAAUCAACUGUGUUUAAAUUUUUUAUUUUUUAUUUUUUAAGCCUCCAGCACCCGGUAUUCCCAGGUGGUCUCCCAUCCAAGUACUAACCAGGCUCGACCCUGCUUAGCUUCUGCGAUCACAGGAGAUCUGGCGCCUUCAGGCUGAUAUGGGCGGAGACUAAGUUUUUUAAAAAAAAAGGAUUAGGCUGUGGAUUCAGACCCCUCUGGGCUGGGAGCCCACCUCUGCACCUUGCUAGCUGUGUGACGUUGGGCAGGUUACUCCACCUCUCUGGGCCCCAGCUCCUGGUAUAACGUUGGGAGCAUUAGGGGAGAAAGUGCAAAUGUGCAGGACCAGGGCCAGCCUGCCUGUUUGCACUCCCUCAGGAUGGCGAUUAUUGCUAUUUACAUGCACCCUCUCCUUGAAGCCCUUCUGGCAGCCCCCUAAGCGAGUGUCUGCUCUGUUUCCAGAAAGGAUUGAGGCCACAGGGAUGAAGCAAUGUGUCUAAAGCCCCAGAUGGGGGACUUCCCGGCAGUCCAGUGGUUAGGACUCUGCUCUGUCACUGCCAAGGGCUCGGGUUCCAUCCCUCCUCAGGGGAACUGAGCCCCCCACAAGCUGCUCAGUUCAGCCAAAAACAGGAACCAUAGAUGGAGGUGGUGGGAUGCCCCAGGGCCCAAGUGGUCUCCAUGCCCGAGCCCCCACCAUCGUGCCUUCCGUCUCCAAAGUG
rnacentral:lncRNA from 1 species